GGCGCUAUCCCUCCUGAGCUGAGAAAGAAGGCAAGGGGCCCCUCCGGGGGCGAUUAUGGUGAAGCGGAUGCCUUGUUAGCGGGGUGUUAAGCACUUGAGUACGACACUCGGGCCCUUGACCUCCGCUAUGGCUUCGUAGGGUGUGAUGAGUGCUUUACCCGGCGCUCAUCCACUGCCCAGCCCACCUACCCUUGUGACAUGGGCACCGCAGAUCCCUGCGCUGCCCUUGUCGGUUGUAUAUCACUCCUGAGCUA
rnacentral:siRNA from 1 species